GAACGCAUAGCCCAGUGGUAGAGCCCAUGCUUAGCACACAUGAGGGCAUGGGUUCAAUCCCCAGUACCUCCA
rnacentral:tRNA from 1 species